GAGAAAUUAUGGUUGAACCGUAUCGAGUCACUCCGGGCUAGCAUUAGGGUUUAGUUAUAUAAAUCCAAACCCCCUUCACCGUAUUCUCAUUUCGCCUCGGAGAAUUUAGAGUUUCGAGAGUCGAGACAGAGCGUCGGUUUUCCUCAGGCCAAACACCAUGAGAGCCAAGUGGAAGAAGAAGCGCAUGAGGAGGCUGAAGAGGAAGCGCCGAAAGAUGAGGCAGAGAUCCAAGUAGAACAAGACAAAGUCGCCUUCAGAGGUUUUCCCUAUUGCCAUUAGGUCGUUUUUCCCUUUUCAAUGUCGUAUUUAUGUCCUGAGUCUGCGAAACAAACACUGGAUUUCGCUGUUCCUGUAAUGUUUUGACUGAAAUCUAUUUAAUGAUUAUUAGUUUGGAUCUU